rnacentral:lncRNA from 1 species
UUCUUUACUUAAAGCGCAAUUUCAUUGAAUAAGGGGCGUCAGCAAAAUUAACUUUUUGUGAUGAGUUUUUUUGAAAUUUAUUGUUAAAUAUUUUGUAACAUGAAUGUGAUACGUGAUUGGUCUGUGAUUUCUAAAUUAAGUUAAUUUUGUUGGCGCUAAAAAUAUUACGUACUUCCAAUAUCGUCUAUUCCUAAUUGUAGAACGCAUCUUGGUUGUAGAAACCGACUCACGGUUGUUGAGUACUCAUAUAUUAUGUUCACAUGACAAUGAGUACCAACAAGUUCUUUAAUUUUAAUAUUAUUUAGUGACGUUCGAAAUGUCCCAUAAUAAUGAAUAAAAAAAUAAUUUGAAUAUAAAGAGAAUCGCUACUUAUUCAGUGAAAUUGUAGUGAGUUAGCAUUUACUUUCAGUGUUCCUUUUUUCAAUUUGUUCUAAAAAUCGAGGCUGUAGAAAUAUAUAGAAACGUUAAAUGAUUUGGUGCUAGACAGUCCACAUUUUGUUUUUAAUUAAAGAACUAUUCAAAAGAAAUGUAUUAAAAUUGUUGUCUCAAAAAUUAUAAGCGAUCAAAUUGUAUAUGUUGUUGAAUUUCUGAACGAUAUUAGGUAGAUUACGUUAUUUAUUAGUAAACAAACUGCCACAUCAUAAACCUAUAUCUAUUUCUUUCAUGUCCGUAUAUUGCCAUCCUGCUUAUAUUAUAAUGUUGAACUUUAAGUAUUUAUUUGCAUUUAAGUUUUAUAUGUUUUGCAUCGAAUCUAAUCAACAAGUAAUUAUAUUUUCUUUUUUAUUUUAUUUCAUAAAAAAUCCAUAAAGAACAACGCACUUUUAGUUUAUCUUUACAGUGGGCAACACUGAUGUACGAGUCAUAGAUAUAGAUUUAUGUUCGCGGUUUUUUUGGCCGUAGUAUUAUGAUACCAGUGUUUUUAUUUCUUUUAAAGGAAAGUUUAGGUUCGUAGGUGUACAUUCCGAACGCACUGAACAAAAACAGUUUUUGGUCACCUUAUUUUUAUGUGAUUUUCAACUUAAUAAAGUGAUAUAUUUUUAACGAAA